ACUCCUGCGGGAGGCAGCAGUGGGGAAUUUUGGACAAUGGGCGAAAGCCUGAUCCAGCAAUGCCGCGUGAGUGAAGAAGGCCUUCGGGUUGUAAAGCUCUUUUGUCAGGGAAGAAACGGUGAGAGCUAAUAUCUCUUGCUAAUGACGGUACCUGAAGAAUAAGCACCGGCUAACUACGUGCCAGCAGCCGCGGUAAUACGUAGGGUGCAAGCGUUAAUCGGAAUUACUGGGCGUAAAGCGUGCGCAGGCGGUUUUGUAAGUCUGAUGUGAAAUCCCCGGGCUCAACCUGGGAAUUGCAUUGGAGACUGCAAGGCUAGAAUCUGGCAGAGGGGGGUAGAAUUCCACGUGUAGCAGUGAAAUGCGUAGAUAUGUGGAGGAACACCGAUGGCGAAGGCAGCCCCCUGGGUCAAGAUUGACGCUCAUGCACGAAAGCGUGGGGAGCAAACAGGAUUAGAUACCCCUGUAGUCC
rnacentral:rRNA from 1 species